AAAGUUGUUGCGGUUAAAAAGCUCGUAGUCGGAGGUGUGUCUCGGACGGUCGGUUCGCCGCUUGUCGGUGCUCAACUGGCCGGUCCGGACGUCCUGCCGGUGGGGCCGCGAGGCCCCGUCAUCCUUCUUUGGUCCUCUUCACCGAGUGCCUUGGUGGGCCGGCACGUUUACUUUGAACAAAUUAGAGUGCUCAAAGCAGGCCGUUGGUCGCCUGAAUACUGUGUGCAUGGAAUAAUGGAAUAGGACCUCGGUUCCAUUUUGUUGGUUUUCAGAACUCGAGGUAAUGAUUAAUAGGGACGGACGGGGGCAUUCGUAUUGCGACGUUAGAGGUGAAAUUCUUGGAUCGUCGCAAGACGAACCGAUGCGAAAGCAUUUGCCAAGAACGUUUUCGUUGAUCAAGAACGAAAGUUAGAGGUUCGAAGGCGAUCAGAUACCGCCCUAGUUCUAACCAUAAACGAUGCCAGCUAGCCAUCCGCCGAAGUUCCUUCUAUGACUCGGCGGGCAGCUUCCGGGAAACCAAAGCUCUUGGGUUCCGGGGGAAGUAUGGUUGCAAAGCUCAAACUUAAAGGAAUUG
rnacentral:rRNA from 1 species